rnacentral:rRNA from 1 species
UCCCCUAGUAACGGCGAGUGAAGCGGGAAGAGCUCAAAUUUAAAAUCUGGCAGUGUAUUCUGUCCGAGUUGUAGUCUAGAGAAGCAUCAUCCGUGCUGGACCAUGUACAAGUCUCUUGGAACAGAGCGUCAUAGAGGGUGAGAAUCCCGUCCUUGACAUGGACUCCCAGUGCUUUGUGUUGUGCUCUCAACGAGUCGAGUUGUUUGGGAAUGCAGCUCAAAAUGGGUGGUAAAUUCCAUCUAAAGCUAAAUAUUGGCGAGAGACCGAUAGCGAACAAGUACCGUGAGGGAAAGAUGAAAAGCACUUUGGAGAGAGAGUUAAACAGUACGUGAAAUUGUUGAAAUGGAAACGCUUGAAGUCAGUCGCGUUCUCUGGGAUUCAGCCUUGCUUUUGCUUGGUGCAUUUCCUAGUCUACGGGCCAGCAUGAAUUUUGACCAAUGGAAAAAGGCUGGGGGAAUGUGGCACCUUCGGGUGUGUUAUAGCCCCUUGUCACAUACGUUGGUUGGGAUUGAGGUCUUAGUGCACGCUUCGGUUGUGCUUUGAUGCUGGCGUAAUGGCUUUAAACGACCCGUCUUGAAACACGGACCAAGGAGUCUAACAUGUCUGCGAGUGUUUGGGUGCAAAACCCGAGCGCGUAAUGAAAGUGAUAGUUGGGAACCUCUCACGAGGGGCACCGACGCCCGGACCAGACCUUCUGUGACGGAUCCGAGGUAGAGCAUAUAUGUUGGGACCCGAAAGAUGGUGAACUAUGCCUGCAUAGGGUGAAGCCAGAGGAAACUCUGGUGGAGGCUCGUAGCGAUUCUGACGUGCAAAUCGAUCGUCAAAUGUGGGUAUAGGGGCGAAAGACUAAUCGAACCAUUGGUUAUGCUACUUGGUGGUUAAGAGGCAUCUGAAAGGAUUAGCCUAGUGAGCGUUGAGGCUUGCAACACUGUCAAAUUGGCGGGGACGUCCUAAAGCUUUUGCGACCAAGCAUUUGUGGAAACACAAGUGUGGCCGAGUUAAUAGCCCUGGGUAUGGUAAUACUGCAAAAGAUGUUACAAUGGAUAAUCCGCAGCCAAGUCUUAAGGCCCUUGUAAUAUAUUUCUAUUUAUUACUAGGUCUAUGGAUGCAGUUCACAGACUAAAUGGCAGUGGGUGUGUAUUGAGUUGGGAAUUAAUCUGACUCUACAUGCUUAAGAUAUAGUCGAUCCUGCCGUGAAAGCGGACUGGUGGAUAAAGUUCAUGGCCCCUCAACUUAAAGGUCAUUGUUCUGGAGCCACUGGGUGUGAUUGAGAAUUUAUUUUAAUUUAUUUCUAAUUAAUUGAAUACUCAAU